ACUGGUCGAGUCGGCCUGCGCGGAAGAUGUAACGGGGCUAAACCAUGCACCGAAGCUGCGGCAGCGACACUAUGUGUUGUUGGGUAGGGGAGCGUUCUGUAAGCCUGUGAAGGUGUACUGUGAGGUAUGCUGGAGGUAUCAGAAGUGCGAAUGCUGACAUAAGUAACGAUAAAGCGGGUGAAAAGCCCGCUCGCCGGAAGACCAAGGGUUCCUGUCCAACGUUAAUCGGGGCAGGGUGAGUCGACCCCUAAGGCGAGGCCGAAAGGCGUAGUCGAUGGGAAACAGGUUAAUAUUCCUGUACUUGGUGUUACUGCGAAGGGGGGACGGAGAAGGCUAUGUUGGCCGGGCGACGGUUGUCCCGGUUUAAGCGUGUAGGCUGGUUUUCCAGGCAAAUCCGGAAAAUCAAGGCUGAGGCGUGAUGACGAGGCACUACGGUGCUGAAGCAACAAAUGCCCUGCUUCCAGGAAAAGCCUCUAAGCAUCAGGUAACAUCAAAUCGUACCCCAAACCGACACAGGUGGUCAGGUAGAGAAUACCAAGGCGCUUGAGAGAACUCGGGUGAAGGAACUAGGCAAAAUGGUGCCGUAACU
rnacentral:rRNA from 1 species